CGUCAGCUCGCGUUGUGAAAUGUCAAAUUAAGUCAGACAACGAGCGAGACCCCCACCCCUAGUUGGUAUUCCCGUCUCCGGACGGGGGGCACUCUAAGGGGACUGCCGCUGUAAAGCGGAAGAAAGAGGGGGACACCGCCAGUUCACCAUGCCCGUAACCCCCAGGCCUCCCCCCGGUUUCAAUUGCAGGGACAAAGGGAUUGCGACCCCGAAAGGGGGAGCCAAUCCCUCAAACCCUGUCGCAGUUGGGAUCGAGGUUGAAACUCGCCCUCGUAAAGUGGAUCCCUAGUAAUCCGGUA
rnacentral:rRNA from 1 species